rnacentral:rRNA from 1 species
UACAGAGGUCUCAAGCGUUGUUCGGAUUCAUUGGGCGUAAAGGGUGCGUAGGCGGCGCGGUAAGUCGGGUGUGAAAUCUUGGAGCUUAACUCCGAAACUGCAUUCGAUACUGCGGUGCUUGAGGACUGGAGAGGAGACUGGAAUUCAUGGUGUAGCAGUGAAAGUGCGUAGAGAUCAUGAGGAAGACCAGUGGCGAAGGCGGGUCUCUGGACAGUUCCUGACGCUGAGGCACGAAGGCCAGGGGAGCAAACGGGG